UUCCUCUUUUUUUUUUUUUAAUUCCCCUGACUCUGUAAACGUCCUUUUUUAUUUAAGACUUGUGAGAGUUCAAUUAACUAAUGUUUCAUUCCAGUUUUUAAAUUAUAAUUCUGACCAAAGUCUCCUAUUUACAUACAACUUUCUAGGAAUACAUAAGGAAAAUGUACAUUUAAAUCCAACAUGGCUUUUUAUUUAUUAGUAAUAAAACAUCCACAUCAAAUGAGUUACUCAAACUCAAGUACCAGCAAACAGCAUCUUCUCUCUCAUUUCAGUACUUAGGAAUAAAACAGAAAAUUAUAGAAAUAAACCUGUUGCUUAGGUUCAAAAACAUGGGCAUUUCCUAUCACCAAAUCACAAUGCAAUAUUGGUACACUUUCCACAUCUUAACAUCUUUACUCCCCAACCAAAAAUGUUUUGUUUCAAAGUCAGUUUUUACAUAAUUCCAAUUUAACAGCAUGCCAUCGUUUACUAAAAUGAAACUGUUUGUAGGUGUGUGUGUAUAUACAUAUACACAUAUAUAUUAGUUACACAGAAAUAUUACUGAUUCUAUAAAAGUUCUUUCGACAAUUCCAAUAACACAGUGAUAUAAAAGAAACUUUUUCCUAGAAGUCACUUAUCAUGUACCAUCACACACACAAAAAAUAAGAUGCAAAUAUGUUCUAAAUUCUAGUGUACGGUGAAUAAACAAGGGGAAAGCCGGCGUACUGCAACGUACUUCACCGUAAUGGUCAGAAUAAGAAGCAUGAGUUCUGCUCACAUAAAUAGCACAGUCUGUGAUUCUGCUAACCUACCUACAAGGUUUGCAGCCCUGUCCACUGAGUGUGACUCAGAGCCUGCCGGAGCCACGGCCACUGCCAGCCAUACCAACAGGCAGCCAUGACAACAGUCCGCGACGAUGACAUCAGACAGUCAUAACAACAAAGCAAGACGCGCAGAAACACUGUGGAUCUCAUGGACAAGUCAAAGGAGCACAAUCUCUUAGGAUUCCAUGACACUGGAAGCAAAAGACCAUAGAUCUCUCUAACCCGAAGAACAAUCCCAGUUGCCCCUUAAUGUCACGAAGGAUGCAUGUCUGUAAUGCCUAAUCCAUUUGUAUUCACAAGAGGAAAUUAGAGGACUAGCACUUAACUCAGCCACUGGGGCUUGUGGAAGCCCCAAAAGGCUCCCUAAAAUGUAGUCCUUCCCCCAGAAGUCAAGCUACGAGCCUGAGUUGAGAACCUAUCACUUUCCACCACCAAUACCAACACCACGGAUCAGUUAUCUCUACUAUGUUCCCUCAGCCCUCCCUGCUUUUGAGGAUGGAAUACUGUGGAACAAAUCAAGAAAAAAUGUUAGUGGUGACUACUUGGGAUGGAAUCAUUUACUUCUCCAGGAAUUCUACCUACUCUUUUCAAGAUGGCUGGGAGGAGGAGGCAGAUGCCAGCUUCAGUUUAGAGAAUGAAGCUCGUGGUUCGCAGACUGUCUCAACAGCAUUUCCAUAACAUGUUCAAGUGCGCCUAGUGUUUUUGCUACCACAAUCCUUAAAUGGAAACUCUUUCUUCAUGUACAGAAGAUGGCAGAACUUUCUGCACUAACUUGAAUAGAAAAAAAUUCUACUCCACAAGAUAUCUAUAGAUUUAUUUGAGACAUGAAGCCUCAAGUGACCUGUUUUUAAAAAAAAUUGUAAUUCAACUCCAGAAGUAGUGGAGGGAAGCAGGGUGGACAAUAACUUUCCCUUCCCAGUGGUUCUCAUCUUAACGUAUGUUGGGAACAUCUCUUCCAACCAUUCACAAAACAGAGUUUUAUAUGCCAGUUUAUCUUAUUGUGGUGACUCAAAAGAUUGAAAAAUUCGAA